UGGUAAGGUAAUGGCUUACCAAGGCGACGAUGGGUAGCCGGCCUGAGAGGGUGUACGGCCACACUGGGACUGAGACACGGCCCAGACUCCUACGGGAGGCAGCAGUAGGGAAUAUUGCGCAAUGGAGGGAACUCUGACGCAGCGACGCCGCGUGAGCGAUGAAGGUCUUCGGAUCGUAAAGCUCUGUCCUUGGGGAAGAAGGGUGCAUUAUAGCAUCUUGACGGUACCCGAGGAGGAAGCCCCGGCUAACUACGUGCCAGCAGCCGCGGUAAUACGUAGGGGGCAAGCGUUGUCCGGAAUUAUUGGGCGUAAAGGGUGCGUAGGCGGCCUUUUAAGUCAGGUGUGAAAGCCCACGGCUUAACCGUGGGAUUGCAUUUGAAACUGGAAGGCUUGAGUAUCGGAGAGGGUAGUGGAAUUCCCAGUGUAGCGGUGAAAUGCGUAGAUAUUGGGAGGAACACCAGUGGCGAAGGCGACUACCUGGACGAAAACUGACGCUGAUGCACGAAAGCUAGGGGAGCAAACAGGAUUAGAUACCCUGGUAGUCCUAGCUGUAAACGAUGGGUACUAGGUGUAGGAGGUUUCGAUACCUUCUGUGCCGGAGUUA
rnacentral:rRNA from 1 species